UGGUUGGCUCUGGAUGACUCCAUGGAGGCUGACAGGAGACCACCCAAGGGUCCUCUGGCUCUCCUCUCCUGUGACUAGCGCACGUGAAAGGGAACCGUCCAGCUCAGAGGGAUCUUGGCUCCAUUGUAAGUGCUGGAAGUCAUGGACUAUAAAGAAAAAAGGUAUUGCUUUAACUCAGCGACAAACAAAGAAGUUUCUUCUUACAGAGUGCUUUGGAGUGAAAACAUUUUUAAAGUGAGGUACAACCACUUCAAGUGAUGCACAAACACUGUGUAAGACCUGGGUUACUUUAUGGAAAUCUUUUCUGCAGUUGUGCUAAAGAAAUUCUCUUCCUGGUUUCAUUUCAUUUUACGAUAAUUGCUCUAACUUCUAUUUCCAUCACAGUAAUAUUUAUUGCAAUCAUAUCCAUUUAAUUUGAUCAUUUAUGUUCCACUCCAGUGAUCAAAACAGGUAGUCUACUAAUUCAUGUUACCAUUCCUUACACCUUACUAAAUCAGGCAUCCAAAUAAAAGCAAUUAUUGUAAA